rnacentral:rRNA from 1 species
GACGAACGCUGGCGGCGUGCUUAACACAUGCAAGUCGAACGGAAAGGCCCUGCUUUUGUGGGGUGCUCGAGUGGCGAACGGGUGAGUAACACGUGAGUAACCUGCCCUUGACUUUGGGAUAACUUCAGGAAACUGGGGCUAAUACCGGAUAGGAGCUCCUGCUGCAUGGUGGGGGUUGGAAAGUUUCGGCGGUUGGGGAUGGACUCGCGGCUUAUCAGCUUGUUGGUGGGGUAGUGGCUUACCAAGGCUUUGACGGGUAGCCGGCCUGAGAGGGUGACCGGCCACAUUGGGGCUGAGAUACGGCCCAGACUCCUACGGGAGGCAGCAGUGGGGAAUAUUGCACAAUGGGCGGAAGCCUGAUGCAGCAACGCCGCGUGCGGGAUGACGGCCUUCGGGUUGUAAACCGCUUUCGCCUGUGAUGAAGCGUGAGUGACGGUAAUGGGUAAAGAAGCACCGGCUAACUACGUG